UCGAGGGUGUCUCCAUUCUGGUUGAUACCAGUAAACCCAAUCCAAAUAAACUCCAGUACGAUAAUAUUUAUCUCGACAUGAACGGGAUUAUUCAUCCUUGUUUCCACCCCGAAGACAGGAAUUAAUGUAAUUUGGCUUAUUCGAUGUCUUAUGCAGCCUUCACCAACAACUUUUGAUGAAGUUUUUCAAUGCAUAUUUGAUUACAUUGAUAGAUUGUUUGUUAUGGUCCGCCCUAGAAAGCUUUUGUAUAUGGCUAUUGAUGGCGUUGCCCCUCGUGCUAAAAUGAAUCGACAGCGAUCUAGGUGUUUUAGAGCAGCGAAAGAUGCUGCAGAGGCGGCAGCUGAAGAAGCAUGACUGCGAGAGGAGUUUGAGAGGGAGGGCAGAAGACUUCCUCCUAAAGAGGAAUCUCAUCUUUU